GAGGGUAUAGCUCAGUGGUACAGCGUGUGCUUAGCAUGCACAACGUCCUGGGUUCAAGCCCCAGUACCUCCA
rnacentral:tRNA from 1 species